GAAGGAAGGGUUUCAGAUGUGGUGUAGAGGGGUGUUGGUAGAGGAUUCGAAGAAGCAACUUGCUGUACAGAAGGAGCAGGAGAGGCAGACUUACCAGAAGAUUCUUGCAGAGGUGCUGGAGGUCUUGAUUUAGAAGAUUCUCCUAGCUUUGCUUUCUUCGCCUUUGAAGACUUCUCAGAUGGACCUCUUUUGAACUUCACGAAGUCUGGAGCUGAAUCUGGCAGUUCUCUUAACCCGAAGUCAGAGAUGUCCACUCCUU
rnacentral:lncRNA from 1 species